CAAGAYGUAGCUUAACUAAAGCAUUCGGCCUACACCCGAAAGAUUUCACGCCUCUAGAACAUCUUGA
rnacentral:tRNA from 1 species